UACGUAGGAUGCAAGCGUUGUCCGGAUUUUUUGGUUUAAAAGGGUGCGUAGGCGGCCUAUUAAGUUAGUGGUGAAAACGUUCGGCUUAACCGGAUACCCGCCAUUGAUACUGAUAGACUUGAGUGCGACAGAGGGUGUUGGAAUGUGUGGUGUAGCGGUGAAAUGCUUAGAUAUCACGCAGAACACCAAUUGCGAAGGCAGAUGCCUAUGUCGUAACUGACGCUGAGGCACGAAAGCGUGGGGAGCAAACAGG
rnacentral:rRNA from 1 species